rnacentral:rRNA from 1 species
AUGGAAGGAAUGAGGCGUAUAUUAAACCUUAGCUACAUGCAUCUUCCUGUUCAUCUUCGGGCAUGUUGCUUACGUCUUGGUAUGCAUCCAGAGGACUACGAGAUCAUGAGGGAUGAUCUUGUUCGACAAUGGAUAGCUGAAGGCCUUGUGCGCAGUUUACCUGGGCUAGAUUUGGAGGAUGUUGCAAGGAGUUAUUUCAAUGAGCUUAUCAACAGAAGCUUGAUUCAGCCUGAACGGACAGUCGCUGGGGAUGUGAUUUCUUGCAAAGUGCAUGAUGUGAUUCCUGAUGUUAUUAUAAGCAAAUGUCAAGAAGAAAAUUUCAUGAGUGUGGUAUACAAUUCUGAAGACAUGGCAAGAUUGCAUGAAUGCAAGCCCAAGGUCCGCCAAUUGUUCUUUUGCUCGAGUUCUAAUGAUGCCACAAAUGGUACAAUAUCAAGGGCUACUGGUCUGUCGAAGGUCCGCCGAUUGUUCUUUUGCUCGAGUUCUAAUGAUGCCACAAAUGGUACAAUAUCAAGGGCUACUGGUCUGUCGAAGGUUAGAUCGAUUGUGUCAUUCGGAGGGUCCAAGUACUUGAAUUCUUUAUUGUUUUCCAAAUAUCUCCGGGUGCUGCUCAUUGAAAACUGGGGUAUCACAGUUGAUCUCAGUGAUAUCAACCGCUUGUUUCAUCUGAGAUAUUUGAAGGUUACAGCAGGAAACAUAAAGCUUCCGUCUGAAUUGAAAGGACUAGUGCAUUUGGAAACACUGGAACUGACUUCUGAUUCAAUUCCGUCUGAUGUAGUUCAGUUGCCCCGUUUAUCCCAUCUGACUGCUCUAUGUCAUAGGCUGCCUGAAGGGAUCGGCAACUUGAAAUUACUGCGAACUCUGAAUGGGUUUCAGUUGACAGGUUGCUCCUCAGAGGAUAUCAAGGGCCUGGGCGAGCUAACCAAUUUGCGGGAGCUCUUUUUCGUCAUAGAAGAUACAACUGAAAUUGAUGAUGCUUUGGUCUCCUCCAUUGAAAAACUUCGUAAGCUGAGACAUCUCAGGUUUUCUCAUAACUGGUAUCUUGACAAUGACAGUCUGUCAUCAUUAUCCAAUCCUCCCCUCCUCAUCGAGACACUUCGGAUGAAAGGUAUCAUCACCUUCAGAAUUCCAAGAUGGAUUGGUGAUCUCCAUUGUCUCCAUCAUCUGGAGCUGUAUGUUAGGCAGACAUCGACUGAUGACAUUGGUCUUCUUGGAGAGCUGCCCUCCCUGAUGGAAUUCAAAUUAUGUUUGUUGCAUUUUGCUGCAAAUGGAGCUAUCAUAGUCCGCACAGGAUUAUUUCCAGCUUUGGAGUACUUUCAGACAUACUUUCAAGACGAAGAUCAUGAGCUACACUCUGCACAAGACGAUGUUAUGGCACACCUGUGCUUCGAGGUCGGGUCAAUGCCCAAGCUACAAAGACUCGAGCUACAUUUAUGGGAGGGGCACUGGGGCGGCGCUACCCCAGUCGGCAUAGAGCACGUGUUAGCUCUCCAGCAAAUCAAGUUGGGGUUCGCGUAUUGCGGCGAAGUGGACCGUCGUGCCGAGUCUGCGUUCAGGGACGCCUUGCAGGCGCACCCGAACCGUCACUCCAUUCGAUUCAAUUAG